rnacentral:hammerhead_ribozyme from 1 species
AGGCGAAACCACCGGGAGGUGGUCGGCCGGAGUGGAUCUCCGGCCCUGAUGAGCCAACCGCGA